rnacentral:rRNA from 1 species
GACGAACGCUGGCGGCGUGCCUAACACAUGCAAGUCGAGCGGAGAAUACAGCAAUGUAUUCUUAGCGGCGGACGGGUGAGUAACGCGUGGGUAACCUGCCUUUUACAGGGGGAUAACACAGGGAAACUUGUGCUAAUACCGCAUAACAUAGCGAAAUGGCAUCAUUUUGCUAUCAACGGAGUAAUCUGGUAAAAGAUGGACCCGCGUCCGAUUAGCUAGUUGGUAAGGUAAAAGCUUACCAAGGCGACGAUUGGUAGCCGAACUGAGAGGUUGAUCGGCCACAUUGGGACUGAGACACGGCCCAGACUCCUACGGGAGGCAGCAGUGGGGAAAAUUGCGCAAUGGGGGAAACCCUGACGCAGCAACGCCGCGUGAAGGAUGAAGGUUUUCGGAUUGUAAACUUCUUUGAUUGGGGAAGAUAAUGACGGUACCCAAAAAACAAGCCACGGCUAACUACGUGCCAGCAGCCGCCGUAACAC